rnacentral:rRNA from 1 species
UACAGAGGAGCCAAGCGUUGUCCGGAUUGACUGGGCGUAAAGCGCACGCAGGCGGGGGUGCGCGUGGGGUGUGAAAUCUGGCCGCUUAACGGCCAGGCGCCAUCCCAUACGGCACGCCUGGAGCCUUGCAGAGGUCGGUGGAAUUGCCGGUGUAGUGGUGAAAUGCGUAGAGAUCGGCAGGAACACCCAGGGGGGAAACCAGCCGAC